rnacentral:rRNA from 1 species
UGCCAGCCGCCGCGGUAAUACAGAGGGUGCAAGCGUUAAUCGGAAUUACUGGGCGUAAAGAGUACGUAGGUUGUUAUUUAAGUCAGAUGUGAAAGCCCUGGGCUCAACCUAGGAACUGCAUCUGAUACUGGGUAACUGGAGUAUAGUAGAGGAAAGAGGAAUUUCUGGUGUAGCAGUGAAAUGCGUAGAUAUCAGAAGGAACAUCAGUGGCGAAGGCGUCUUUCUGGACUAAUACUGACACUGAGGUACGAAAGCGUGGGUAGCGAACAGGAUUAGAUA